AAACCAACAGGGAUUGCCUCAGUAACGGCGAGUGAAGCGGCAACAGCUCAAAUUUGAAAUCUGGCCCCAGGCCCGAGUUGUAAUUUGCAGAGGAUGCUUUUGGCGCGGUGCCUUCCGAGUUCCCUGGAACGGGACGCCAUAGAGGGUGAGAGCCCCGUCUGGUCGGACACCAAGCCUCUGUAAAGCUCCUUCGACGAGUCGAGUAGUUUGGGAAUGCUGCUCAAAAUGGGAGGUAUAUGUCUUCUAAAGCUAAAUACCGGCCAGAGACCGAUAGCGCACAAGUAGAGUGAUCGAAAGAUGAAAAGCACUUUGAAAAGAGAGUUAAACAGCACGUGAAAUUGUUAAAAGGGAAGCGUUUAUGACCAGACUUGGCCCGGCGAAUCAUCCAGCGUUCUCGCUGGUGCACUUCGCCGGAUCCAGGCCAGCAUCAGUUCGCCGCGGGGGAUAAAGGCGUCGGGAAUGUGGCUCCUCGGAGUGUUAUAGCCCCUCGCGCAAUACCCUGCGGUGGACUGAGGUUCGCGCACUGCAAGGAUGCUGGCGUAAUGGUCAUCAACGACCCGUCUUGAAACACGGACCAAGGAGUCGUCUUCGUAUGCGAGUGUUCGGGUGUCAAACCCCUACGCGUAAUGAAAGUGAACGCAGGUGAGAGCUUCGGCGCAUCAUCGACCGAUCCUGAUGUUCUCGGAUGGAUUUGAGUAAGAGCAUACGGGGCCGGACCCGAAAGAAGGUGAACUAUGCCUGUAUAGGGUGAAGCCAGAGGAAACUCUGGUGGAGGCUCGCAGCGGUUCUGACGUGCAAAUCGAUCGUCAAAUAUGGGCAUGGGGGCGAAAGACUAAUCGAACCUUCUAGUAGCUGGUUUCCGC
rnacentral:rRNA from 1 species